AACAGCUUUCUUUUAAGACAUCUGGAGUUAGUGCUGUUUUUAAUCAAUUCAGUAUACUUUUGAGCACCUACUAGCAUAAAGCAGCUAUUGUAAAAGGUAUGGAUAACAAAGAGAUGAUUAAGACCCGUCGUUUGCCCGCUAGGAAACUCAAGUUAUUGAAAAACAAAGAAAAAAAAUAAGUUACAAUGUAUUGCAGGAAUGUGGUACGGCGUAUUGGAGAAGGUGGGAACUGGGGAUAAUCCUGAAAGAAUGUGAUGUACUGAACUUUAACAGGUGCUUUUAUGUGGCAAUAUUACCUCACCCACUUUCAAAAGAUGUCAGCAAGCUAGGUCAAGGAUCAGGUGCUACGUUAUAGAGUUGAAGAACUUGGCUGAUUUUUUCCCAGGAUUUAUCCAUCAGCAGUCCUAUUAGCAGCAGAAAAUUAGAAAUCCUGAAUUUUAGCAAAGCCCCUAAAGAGUCAAAGAACACUGGGUGAUCACAAUCAACCAAAGCUACCACUUCUCCAGAGCGUUUUUCUAAAGAGAAACAACAGGGAUCCAACACUGGCCCGGAAGGCCGUUGGCGUCGUCCUCACUUCCUCCGCCGCGACAACAGUUAUACCCUAUGUCUCAGUUACCGGAGAUCCAGCUGCUUGCGUCUCCGCUUCCCGCUGAGGUGGCCGGAAACAGCGCAAGAGCUUUCCACUACCGGUCCCCAGAAUUGGCUUCCCUCAGAGAACCACAACUAUCAGAACACUGGUUCCGCGAUCUGCCUUCCACCUUCUUAACUUCCAAGGUCUGGCCGGGUUUUCUGAAUUUGAGGCUUCGAAUAAGCCUCGCCCUUUGAGCGGCCAUUGCACCCAAGCUGAAUCAGAAUUUUCUAGUUCCUGAAACUAAGUCUUGGGAGAGAGCUGGGAAGGAGGGUGGGAGUUAAUGGGUAAUCCCCAUUAACCACUAACCGUUAACCAUGAAGGGUAUG
rnacentral:lncRNA from 1 species